rnacentral:tRNA from 1 species
GCGGAAGUAGCUCAGGGGUAGAGCAUCACCUUGCCAUGGUGAGGGUCGAGGGUUCGAAUCCCUUCUUCCGCUCCA